AGUGAACGCUGGCGGUAGGCCUAACACAUGCAAGUCGAACGGCAGCACAGUAAGAUUUUGCUCUUCCGGGUGGCGAGUGGCGGACGGGUGAGGAAUACAUCGGAAUCUUCUUUUUCGUGGGGGAUAACGUAGGGGAACUUACGAUAAUACCGCAUACGACCUACGGGGGAAAGCAUGGGAUAUUCGGACCUUGUGCGAUUGAAUGCGCGGAUGUCGGAUUAGCUAGUUGGCGGGGUAAAGACCCACCAAGGCGACGAUCCGUAGCUGGUCUGAGAGGAUGAUCGGCCACACUGGAACUGGGACACGGUCCAGACUCCUACGGGAGGCAGCAGUGGGGAAUAUUGGACAAUGGGCGCAAGCCUGACCCAGCCAUACCGCGUGGGUGAAGAAGGCCUUCGGGUUGUAAAGCCCGUUUGUUGGGAAAGAAAAGCAGCAGGUUGAUACCCCGCUGUUGUGACGGUACCCAAAGAAUAAGCACCGGCUAACUACGUG
rnacentral:rRNA from 1 species